AAGGUGGUGGGCGCGCCGGACUUCCCGGUGGGGUACAUCAGCCUGAAGGGGUUC
rnacentral:tRNA from 1 species